rnacentral:rRNA from 1 species
CAGUGAAGGACUCUCGUAGGUAUCUCCCAAUCCAAUUUUCCUUAAUCCACCAGCAGCAGUUAAAGCAACUUCACCAGAUGUGCCUGAGAAGGCAUUACACUGGAUCCAGUACCACUUCCUGGGGAACCCCCCACCCCAGUUCUUCUCUGAGUAGGAGGGAGCAUUUUCAAAUUCAAACCGUUCUCCAUCCCAUUCUAUCCAUCCUGGAAAGUACUCACACAUCACAGAAACCAACAUAACUCAAUAAUAUGGAUA